UUCCAUCUGUCUGUAAUCUUUUUGUUUAUAUUGUCACACAUCUUCAUUUAAAUAAUAGUGCAUUAUAUUAUAAGUGAUAGAAAUGCAUCAUUAUAUGCGAGUGAGAAUUUUGACACUUCUCACGAAUUUCAUAAUGGCAUUUCGAUCACGUGUGAUAUACGUUUUAACUUACAGGUACAAAAAAUAAAGUUUCAUUCAAGUAAAAUAUUCACCUAUAAAAAUAAAAUAGUAAAUAUAAUAUAAUAGUCAAAUUUACUCACUUGUGAGUACUUUAUCUCACUUGUGAAUAAUAUUUGAUUUCUAUCACCGAAAACAAUGGUUUAUACUAAUAUCGUUUUGCUAAGACCUACUAAAAAUUUUAUUACUUUUACGUUAAAUGCGGUAUUGUUAAGAGUAAACCAAAGGGUAAACAUAUCAUAAAUAAGUGGAACCCACCCAGACCAAGAAACGAAGGCAACAGGUCAGUUUUUACCAGGGUCGGAUUAUUUACUUUUUUCUUGUCUGAAAUUCUGUAAUCUAAUCACUGAAUCUAAAAAAAUACAUUCUGCUUUUGCAUGAGUUUUUCUAAUGAACGCACAUCGCAGCUUACAUAAAAUAUUUUAAUAUUUUGUUGUUAUUUGAUGUAAUUGUUAUUGAAGUCAACUAAAUAUUUUAAGAAAUUUGAAAAGGCCAGGUGGUUAAUGACAAGUUAUUAUUAAAAUGGGGCAGGUAACUUUCUGGGAAUUUUAGGAAAAACAAACACUCUUAAGGCUCUAGGGUACCGAAUGAACUGUUCAGAUUUGGUGAACUGUAAGUUGCAUACUCUAUUUAGACUUUUAUUCUGUGGCAGCUGUCAACCAUCCGACCUUCUCUACCUGGUGCCUGGUCCCUUUAGUCAUAAAAUGGAAAUAAAGUAAACAAACAGAAUUUCACCAUCGAUGAGUUUCUUUUAUUUCAGAGAUUCAGAUUCUAGCUCAGUAGAAAGAAAAGUUCAUUUUUCUCUUGAUUUUGGACUUUGGAAUAAUUUUUUGACAAUAAUGUCACUUUGACAAAUGAGUUUUCGCAAGUAAAGUGGUGGGUUUUGCUAAAUUUUAGGGUGGUGGUAGGGACUUAUAUAUUGAAAACAUACAAUUUUAUAACUUGUUUACUUUUUGAUUCUUUGCAGUUUGCUAGUGGCACUCUUCCACCGCAGUGCUUUGAAAUUUUCUUAUCACUUGUUGUUGAAAACGUUGUAUUGAAAUUAUGGGUAAUAAUUCUAAACAAUUUCUUUCAAAAAAAAAAAAAAAAGUCGAAAAUGAUGCGUAAUUAUUGGAAAAAACAACGAAAAGGUUCUAAAACUGAUCUUCCAAGUAAAUCAAGUCUUGCAGAAUGUAGUUUUCAGUCAAUUGAAUCGAGUUCCGAUGACGAUGAAGUGUUUAUUAUUGACAAAGAAACUAGUCAAGAACAAAAUUUUGUUCCAAGUGGUCGAAGGAUUCUUGACAUGGCAUUUAUUUUUGGAAUUAAAAAACAUAAAACCUAACAUUUUUUCUAGGUGCUGGUUAUUCUCAACUAACAGAAUUUUGCGCAGCUUUGAACAUUCCACAACUGGAAAUGCAAAAUGCAUGUCUACAAAAAAAUUCGUAUUUCAUUCAAAAAAUUGAAUGCCGAUAUCAUAUACUACGAAAUUUUUGUACCAAAAUUAGAGAAAUCGCUAAAACUCUCCGAUCCGACAUAAAUAUAAAAACAUUCUUGCGCAACAAUUACUUGAAAUUUAGAACAGCAAUUGUUUCAGCUAUAAAAUACAGAAAAAACGAAAGCUGUACAAUUCAUCAAAAAACAGAAAACUUGAAAAAUGAUAUUUUAAAUGGACCCGCACAUAUUUUUGGUGAUCAUUCAAAUUGCGCUUCGUAUGUCUGUAAAACAGUUGGUCAAAUAAUAAAUGCAGUUGCAUAUUCUGAUUUUUUAAAUAGUUCUUUGUUUGAAUUGUUCAUGCGGGCAUUAAAAAGAGUUGCAAAUUUAUCUUCAAGUCUUUUGUACGAUGUCGAUAAUAAUUCCACUGAAACCCAACCUGCGAAAUUAAAUAAAAGAAAAAUUCGUAUUCAUAGUGCAGAUUCUGAUUAUGGUGCGACUGAUGGAUGACAUAAUAGAUAUGCCAAUGGAAACAUAUGACAAAAUAAAAAGUGAGUUUUUGAAUGAUUUGGCUGCUUACAAUAUUUUAAAAAUCCCUAUUGAAACAAUUGGUCAACGUAAUAAUGAGCAGUGGGCUAAAGAAAGAAAUAACAGAUUAACAGCUAGUAAUUUUGGAAGAAUUAUAAAUAUGAAAUGUAAAACCAAUACAGCAAGUACUGUAAAAAAUAUCUUAUAUAGUGUAGGUGUGUCUAAAUUUAAAAAAUUGCCUGAACCUCUACAAUGGGGUAUUGAUAAUGAAGAAAAAGCAAAGGAAAAGUUUAAGCAAAUCACAGGUUUCAAGGUGGACUCAUGCGGAAUUUUUGUUGAUGAAGAAAAAACAUUUUUAGGUGCAACACCAGAUGGAUUAGUCGGUUAAAAUGCUAUUGUUGAAAUUAAAUGUCCAUUUAGCGCGAGAAACACCGAUAUUAAAACUGCCAUAGAACGAAAUAAUACACAUAACACAAUAACGAAAAACAUAAUAUGUGUCUCACCACAAAUACCUAGAAUCUUUUUUAACACAAAAUUAAUUUGACUAAUUAGAGCUGUCCGUAAAUAUCAACUCAUAUAAUAAUCCCUAAGCAAAAACCGUCCUCAGUAAAAUUAAUAUAAAUAUUAUAUUUUAAUUUUUUAUUUUUCAGGUUUACGUAUUGGUCUUAGUGCCUUUAUAUUAAACCUAUCUAUUUUUUUAAUUUAUUUUUAAAUAGAUGAAUAAUAAAAAAAAUGAAGUUUUGAAAUGAACUAACAAUUCUCUUAUUGAGGGGUGCAAAUGAAUAUCUUUGCUUUGAACAAACGCAAUAAAACCAUCAUGUUGUGGGUUACACCUUGCGGUGCGGCCCGGCCUGUCAUAAAUUAUGCUCCAGGUACAGAAAAUCGUGUAUUAUUGGUUGCCUACUUUCAAUUUAAUUUUUGCUUUAUAUCAAAGAAUCAAGAACAGUUAUCAAAUUCGCAUUAUAUCAGGGCACUGAAUUUUUAAAUUACCUAUAAACUGUUUUUUUUUUAAUUCAAUACGGUAUACCGUUAUCAAAAAAUCUUAAUAAUUAAAAUUUUCACAUGUUAUUCAAUAAAAAAAUAUCUAUUAACUUAUUUAAAGCGGGAAUAUUUCCCUGAUCUCCAUUUACCUUUAAAGAAACACUACAAACAUCAAGAAACUCUUCAAGUCUAAAUUUGCGGCUAAAAACAAUGAAAUAAAUUUACAUGUAAUAGGUAUACGCCAGCUUUCAGGGGGUCUGGAGCCUUAAGCAGGUAAUUUUGCAAAACUUUAAAACUUUCCUUUCAUUUUGUUUUGAGCUUUCGUGAGUGACUGACUAUUUAUUUUCGUCUUAGCUUUCGUAAGGGACUGUUUCUUUGCAAAAUUUGUUGAAAUAUUUGAAAUGGCUAUGUGGCGUCCCGUGGAUUUUGACAACAUCGAAUCAUCAGAAUUGGUGGAAGAAAAUGAGGACAUUGUAAUGAUUAGUUCCGCAUCAGAUGAAGAAGGUCCCUCUAAUUGAAAAAGUUAUACUUAUAAAUCAUCCAUAUCCGGUAAAAAGAACGGCUGAACUAUUAAAGAUUUCACCUGAAACAGUAAAAGGUAUCAUAAAGCGAGGACUGUGCGAAAAUGUGGUGAUUUAAAAAAAAAAUUGGGAGAGUGACAGAGUCAAUGAAAGCAUCGAUGGUUACAAAAAUAUAUGAGUCUUACUCUAAAAAUUUUGUUCCAACGGUGAAAUAUUUAAUCGAACAAUUGGAAGAAGAUGGCAUUGAUAUUCCAUAUAAAACGACUCAAUUAAGGUAACUAAGUAAUUUUAUUAAUGAAUUUUGGUGAUUUAAGGCCGCUAACUUUAAAACAAUCUUCGAUUGUCAGCAUUACAUUAUGUGUAAAUUCCAUCAACAACCACGAAAAAAGCGGAUAUCAUUCAGUUUUUGCAAAGACAUGAUGUUAACAUCCCUGAAGAAGCAAAAACCAAGAAAGAGUAGUUGCUUUUAGUGAAAAAGCAAAAUUUUCCAAGGAAGUAUGCUGUUGAUGAAAUAGCAAAAGCUAAUGGAUUUGAAAUUUUGCGGCUUCCUCCAUAUUUUUGUAUUUUUAACCCGAUAGAAAUUAUUGUUUUCUAAAGUUAAAUUUUAUGUAGUUUUCCAAAAAUUCAUAAUAUAAUUCAAGAAUGAGAUUAAGUUUGGAUGUAUUUUGUAUAUUCUUAAAAUUUCAAUUAACCAAGAGUGAGGAACAGAGUUGCUUUUUAAUAAUCUAUAAAAGCAGCAUGGAUAUUUCUAUUAUGUUUUCUUGCUUGUUCCAUUACCACAGUGUCCAUAAUAAGUUGUUCCUUACAUCCAAAUGAUCCUUUAAUACAUCCUUUUUGUUCCUCAUUAAUUAUAUUGUUUUCUAGACAGUGAUUAUAGAUUAGUUCAGAUAUGCAAGAUGUCAUUAUCUUAUAAAUUGUUGAAAGACACGUAAUGGGUCUAUAUUUAGAUGAAUUUUUAGUCUCUGAAUCUUUUGGUUUUAAAUAAGUAAUCCCAUGUGUUAAAAAUUCUGGAAAAUGUUGUGGAUUUAUAAUAAAAUUAUUAAAAUGCCACAAAAGUAAUGAAUGUACACAUGUAAAUUUUUUAACCAAAAAUUGUGAAUUUUGUCAGUUCCUGGAGAUUUCCAAUUAUGUGAUUUAUUUAUCAUUUUUAUUAAAAUUUCAUUUGUAAUCUGAAAAGAUGGCAUGUCAUUUUUUGUUGAAACUUCUGUUUUAAUAAGAUUUAACCAAGAUGAUGACAUGUUAAAAUCUUUUUUCUCAGACCAAAUGUUUUUCCAAAAUUGGGUUAAAUUAUCUUGAUUGGGUAGACCAUUGUUUAAUGAUUCUUCAUUAUUUAAAUUACGAUAAAAAAAAUUUCAUUGUUUAAGAAUUGUGAAUUUUGUAUUUUCCUAAGGUGAGAUUGUUUAUAUGUUUUCAAUCUUUUAGAAUAAAAAUAUAAUUUUUGUAUCUUUGAUUUGUAAAAGUGUUGAAUUAUACUCUGAA